rnacentral:rRNA from 1 species
CUAUAAGACUGGGAUAACUCCGGGAAACCGGGGCUAAUACCUGAUAAUAUUUUGAACCGCAUGGUUCAAUAGUGAAAGACGGCUUCGGCUGUCACUUAUAGAUGGACCCGCGCCGUAUUAGCUAGUUGGUAAGGUAAUGGCUUACCAAGGCGACGAUACGUAGCCGACCUGAGAGGGUGAUCGGCCACACUGGAACUGAGACACGGUCCAGACUCCUACGGGAGGCAGCAGUAGGGAAUCUUCCGCAAUGGGCGAAAGCCUGACGGAGCAACGCCGCGUGAGUGAUGAAGGUCUUAGGAUCGUAAAACUCUGUUGUUAGGGAAGAACAAAUUUGUUAGUAACUGAACAAGUCUUGACGGUACCUAACCAGAAAGCCACGGCUAACUACGUGCCAGCAGCCGCGGUAAUACGUAGGUGGCAAGCGUUAUCCGGAAUUAUUGGGCGUAAAGCGCGCGUAGGCGGUUUCUUAAGUCUGAUGUGAAAGUCCACGGCUCAACCGUGGAAGGUCAUUGGAAACUGGGGAACUUGAGUGCAGAAGAGGAGAGUGGAAUUCCAUGUGUAGCGGUGAAAUGCGCAGAGAUAUGGAGGAACACCAGUGGCGAAGGCGGCUCUCUGGUCUGUAACUGACGCUGAUGUGCGAAAGCGUGGGGAUCAAACAGGAUUAGAUACCCUGGUAGUCCACGCCGUAAACGAUGAGUGCUAAGUGUUAGGGGGUUUCCGCCCCUUAGUGCUGCAGCUAACGCAUUAAGCACUCCGCCUGGGGAGUACGACCGCAAGGUUGAAACUCAAAGGAAUUGACGGGGACCCGCACAAGCGGUGGAGCAUGUGGUUUAAUUCGAAGCAACGCGAAGAACCUUACCAAAUCUUGACAUCCUUUGAUCGCUCUAGAGAUAGAGUUUUCCCCUUCGGGGGACAAAGUGACAGGUGGUGCAUGGUUGUCGUCAGCUCGUGUCGUGAGAUGUUGGGUUAAGUCCCGCAACGAGCGCAACCCUUAAGCUUAGUUGCCAUCAUUAAGUUGGGCACUCUAGGUUGACUGCCGGUGACAAACCGGAGGAAAGGUGGGGAUGACGUCAAAUCAUCAUGCCCCUUAUGAUUUGGGCUACCCACCUUGCUACAAUGGAAAAUACAAAGGGCAACAAACCGCGAGGUCAAGCAAAUCCCAUAAAAUUAUUCUCAGUUCGGAUUGUAGUCUGCAACUCGACUACAUGAAGCUGGAAUCGCUAGUAAUCGUAGAUCAGCAUGCUACGGUGAAUACGUUCCCGGGUCUUGUACACACCGCCCGUCA